AUGGCCGAAUGCUUCAAUAGGGUGCUCAAAGGUGCACGUGGAUUACCCGUGACGGCAAUAGUUCAAUACACAUUUGACAAGAUGAAUGCGUACUUUGUAAAGUACUCGAUGGAAACCGAUGCACAGAUAGCGGGUGAGAACCCAUGGAAGUACAAGUACAAGUUCCCACCCAAAGUUGAUGAAUGGUUGCUAUUUCAAUCACGGAAGGCGGACUCGGAAGAAGCUAUAUUAUAUGACAAUGAGGAGUGGAAGUACGAAGUGAAAGAUCCAGGAGGAACCACAAACGAUGGCCGGCAACAUGGAGGUCGGGCUUUCAAGGUGUCGUUAACACAAUGUGAUUGCACUUGCGGGAGGCCAUUGUUGCUUCAUCUCCCAUGCUCACAUUUGUAUGCCGCCGGCCGCGUUAGGAAUGUGGACAUCAAUCACCCACGCACCGUGAGGGAGUCCCGGUUCUCAAUCAUGACGGUCAAGAAAACAUGGGCUCCCCGCUUUCACCCAUACUUUGACCAAUCACAAUGGCCGGAGUAUCAUGGAGUUCAACUAUGGCCGGAUCCGGAGUUGAAGGUUGUUAAACGGGGUAGACGUAAGACAAAGCGUCUUAGAGGCGACAUGGACGGAUGGGGCCAUGGUGGGCGCCGCGAAGCGGGCAACGACCAAUUCCAAGAGCCUCGUGAGAGCUCCCGUUGUGGGGAGUGCAAAGGUCAUGGCCACAACAAAAGAAAAUGUACGAAACCAAGGAAAAGGUCCAAGAAAAAUGAUGCAAGCACAAGCCAACAUGGAGCUACACAAGGGAGCCAACCAAGUGGUAGCCAACCUAGUGGUCGCCAACCUAGUGGUAGCCAACCAAAUGGUAGCCAACAAGUGCGAAGCCAACCAAGUGGUAGCCAACCUAGUGGUAGCCAACAAGUGCCAAGGCAACCAAGUGGUACCCAACAAGUGCCUAGCCAACCAAGUGUUAGCCAACCUAGUGGUAGCCAACAAGUGCCAAGGCAACCAAGUGGUAGCCAACAAGUGCCUAGCCAACCAAGAGGUCGGCAACUUGGACUUACAAGAGGCCGUGGUGGUGGUAGAGGUGGUGGUGGUGGUCUCGGCCGUGGUGUUGGAAGAGAGGGACAAGCAGAUAUUCAUGGAGAGGGUGGUUAA
rnacentral:rRNA from 1 species